rnacentral:rRNA from 1 species
UACGAAGGGGGCGAGCGUUAUUCGGAAUCACUGGGCGUAAAGCGUGCGUAGGCUGUUUGGCAAGUUGGAAGUGAAAGCCCAGGGCUCAACCCUGGAAUUGCUUUCAAAACUGCCAGACUCGAGUCCGGGAGAGGAUAGCGGAAUUUCCAGUGUAGUAGUGAAAUACGUAGAUAUUGGAAGGAACACCAGUGGCGCAAGCGGCUAUCUGGACCGGUACUGACGCUGAGGUACGAAAGCGUGGGGAUCAAACAGG